rnacentral:rRNA from 1 species
UGGGGAAUAUUGGACAAUGGGGGGAACCCUGAUCCAGCCAUGCCGCGUGUGUGAAGAAGGCCUUAUGGUUGUAAAGCACUUUAAGCGAGGAGGAGGGUACUGGUAUUAAUACUACCAGGUACUGGACGUUACUCGCAGAAUAAGCACCGGCUAACUCUGUGCCAGCAGCCGCGGUAAUACAGAGGGUGCGAGCGUUAAUCGGAUUUACUGGGCGUAAAGCGUGCGUAGGCGGCUAAGUGAGUCGGAUGUGAAAUCCUCGAGCUUAACUUGGGAAUUGCAUUCGAUACUGGUUAGCUAGAGUGUGGGAGAGGAUGGUAGAAUUCCAGGUGUAGCGGUGAAAUGCGUAGAUAUGGGAAGGAACACCAGUGGCGAAGGCGACCACCUGGGCUCAUACUGACACUGAGGUGCGAAAGCGUGGGGAGCAAACAGG